rnacentral:rRNA from 1 species
UACGUAGGGUGCGAGCGUUAAUCGGAAUUACUGGGCGUAAAGCGUGCGUAGGUGGUUUGUUAAGUCUGAUGUGAAAGCCCUGGGCUCAACCUGGGAAUUGCAUUGGAUACUGGCAGGCUAGAGUGCGGUAGAGGAUGGCGGAAUUCCCGGUGUAGCAGUGAAAUGCGUAGAGAUCGGGAGGAACAUCUGUGGCGAAGGCGGCCAUCUGGACCAGCACUGACACUGAGGCACGAAAGCGUGGGGAGCAAACGGG